GGGCCGUUAGCUCAGUCGGUAGAGCAGCGGACUUUUAAUCCGUUGGUCGUAGGUUCGACCCCUACACGGCCCACCA
rnacentral:tRNA from 1 species